UUGUUGGUAAGGUAAAAGCUUACCAAGGCUUCGAUCAGUAGCUGGUCUGAGAGGACGACCAGCCACACUGGGACUGAGACACGGCCCAGACUCCUACGGGAGGCAGCAGUGGGGAAUUUUGGACAAUGGGGGCAACCCUGAUCCAGCCAUGCCGCGUGAGUGAAGAAGGCCUUCGGGUUGUAAAGCUCUUUCAGCCGGAACGAAACGGUUACGGUUAAUACCCGUGACUACUGACGGUACCGGAAGAAGAAGCACCGGCUAACUACGUGCCAGCAGCCGCGGUAAUACGUAGGGUGCAAGCGUUAAUCGGAAUUACUGGGCGUAAAGCGUGCGCAGGUGGUUUUGUAAGUCAGAUGUGAAAUCCCCGGGCUUAACCUGGGAACUGCGUUUGAAACUACAAGGCUAGAGUGUGGCAGAGGGGGGUGGAAUUCCGCGUGUAGCAGUGAAAUGCGUAGAUAUGUGGAGGAACACCGAUGGCGAAGGCAGCCCCCUGGGUCAACACUGACGCUCAGGCACGAAAGCAUGGGGAGCAAACAGGAUUAGAUACCCUGGUAGUCCAUGCCCUAAACGAUGUCAACUAGUUGUCGGGCCUUAACGGGCUUGGUAACGUAGCUAACGCGUGAAGUUGACCGCCUGGGGAGUACGAUCGCAAGAUUAAAACUCAAAGGAAUUGACGGGGACCCGCACAAGCGGUGGAUUAUGUGGAUUAAUUCGAUGCAACGCGAAAAACCUUACCUACCCUUGACAUGUAUCGAAGCCCGCAGAGAAGCGGGUGUGCCCGAAAGGGAACGAUAACACAGGUGCUGCAUGGCUGUCGUCAGCUCGUGUCNGAUGUUGGGUUAAGUCCCGCAACGAGCCCAACCCUUGUCAUUAAUUGCCAUCAUUUAGUUGGGCACUUUAAUGAGACUGCCGG
rnacentral:rRNA from 1 species